GGAGUGGCCUAGUGGAACGGGCCUUGACUUCCAUGCAAGUGACCCGAGUUUGAGUCACAAUUGAUGCCGGGGCUUCGAUUAAAUGGCAAGACAUGAAUGACUGAAAGAGAGCUGAUCCUGACGGCCUGGGUUCAAAUAUUGAAAGCAGUUUCUGAUCCACCAGAGCUCAGUGGUGCCAGGGUGAUGUACUCACCCAUUGGGUUCGCCCAUGUGGUCCAUAUGGUGGGGAGGAGGGUCCCUCCCCAAAAUUACCCUCUGCAUCGACCAUUCUCUGGUAGGAUAGGGGGCCUUAUGGUCAUACC
rnacentral:lncRNA from 1 species